ensembl:lncRNA
CAACUGUCCUCGUUCCUCUAGGCAGUAAAAAGGCUGGGCCACUGAUGAGCUAAGGGAGUCAAACAGGUUGCAGUCGCCUUCCACCUGCUCCCUGGCUCCGGUGCCCGUGGGAGCAGGUCGGGAUCACACCUUGCAGGCAGCGCCGUGGGCCCAGGAGACGCCAGGCUACGGAGAGCCUUGUCCAGACUUGCCAGUUUACGUUCAAACCGACUCCCACCGUAAAGGCCAUGGAACGACACCCACAGAGGGGAACCUGCAUGGAAGAGUGCACUCGUUCAGAACGAGGCUCUUCGUCUUCAGCGGCUUGUGCUGCUCUGCUGUUUUCAUGGGAAUCCGUCACCGUGGAGAUGUGGAGGUAAUCGCUCUCUACCGGAGCCGGGGGAGACAGCAGCACAUCCCACAGGACUAAAUCCAUCGUCAGAUUCACACCGGUUCACUCUUCGUGAUGAGCUAAUCAGAGACACUGUCACACUAC